AUGUGUCCAACAUUUCUGUCACUUUUAGGAACAAAGAGGCGCCAAACAAAGCCUAAAAGCGACAAUGAGAAUAUAAUUGAGGAGAGCAAUGUUACCACCAACAUUAGUCACGAUGCCAUUGUUUGCAAGAGACCAAAGAGAGAAGUUGGUUGUUCGAAUUUCAAUGAGAAGGCAUUUGACUUAUCUGAAGAAGAUUCACUUGUCACAACCAAGGAAAUCAUAAUUGAGGAGGAAAGAGAGGCAGUUAGAUUGACAAGUACAGGACCUGAAGAUAAGAAAUGCUGUAGAAAACUCAUCAAUUUCAUCCUACAUGGUAAAGAUGAUAAUCUGCAACCGUUAGAAAUGUCUCAGAGUGAUGGUGUCUCCAUGACAGCUCUUGUCAUGCCAUUUGAUGGUCAUAUCAAAAAGGACAGGAAAAGGGGAAUACGAUGUAUUAGAUUUGAGUGA
rnacentral:rRNA from 1 species